AAAGCUGAGUUUGUGCAGCUGCAGACUUGCCUAUGGUGAGGUGGAGUCAGCUUCUGAAGGUCUCGGAACUGGCGCAGGUGAAGCUCUGCUUCUCAUCUGGCCCAGCCUCCUGUGAAGUCAUAGCUGUGUGAUAUGGCAGCCGUUACCAAGAUGGAAAUGAUUAGGACGUCACGGGAGCUGGCACAGGAUGGCCCAUGUUCCGGACAGGACCAGGAUCCAGGGUCCCAGCCACAGCUCUGCCGUCCGCCCAGCCCUGCUUGGUGGCUGGGGAAGGCCGGUCCGCCUUCCCCGGGUCGAUCCUCGCGGUCUGCUGGUCGUGGCCUCAGAAGCUUGGAUGCCUGCGCCUGGACCAGCUGUUGCCUGUUGUCCCUGGGGAUGCUAGGCUCCCCCGGGUAACGGGAUGAGGUGCGGGGCCGGCUCCCCAGAGCCUGGAGUCAGCAUCUCAACCUCAGCUCACCCUGCCGCCUGCUCACCCUGCUUCCCCAGCCUGGCUUACCUGCCCCCACGUGGAGGGUCCUGUCCAGAUCUGGUCCAUGUCACUCAGAAGCCCCAAUUUGCUGUAGGCCUGUCCUCAGAGCCCCAGCUUCAUGGCCACCUGCCCUCCAGGACACCUGCUGGGAAUUUCAGAGGCAGCAUGGCUAUGCCUCCCCUGCAGAAAUCCCAUUUCAGGAAAUGAGACUGCUGCCCACUCUGUCCACUGAGUGAGACAAUGGGGGCCCCGUGAACACUUCCGUCCACCCCCUGCCUGCAUGCCCAGCUGUUCUUCCUGCCCGUUUCCUCUCUCUGCGGCCCCCCUAGGGGUCCUCACCUCCCUUCCCACUGCUGUCCUUCGGUUC
ensembl:lncRNA